UGCUAUUUAGUUUAUAUAAAAUGUUGAUUUUGUAACUCAAUGAUAGGGUAAAUCCUUUUUAGCAA
rnacentral:tRNA from 1 species